CUAUAAUUAGAAUGUUCUAGCC
rnacentral:siRNA from 1 species